rnacentral:pre_miRNA from 1 species
UCUUCAUUCCGCGUACUCUCUCACCGGUCAGAGAAGCGAGAGAUUGUGUAAAAUGAAGAGA